CCUGUUGAGUAGCCAAAAAUUGUUUAACGAUUUGUUCUGUUAAUACUAUUUUGGACUUACAUUUAUGCAUUUGUGGAGACUGGAAUCUUGUACGGAUACGACGUCCGAAUUGUUGUCAAAUUUCAAGAAAAGCUUCAUAUAUCCAAUACUGAAAUAAAAAUAAAAAAUAUAUUAAAGUUUUUAUAUGAUUAAAUUAUAUGUAACAUGGAAAAAUAAAAGAAAAAUACUUGGAAUGCAAGUGGAUAACCAUGUAAUGAAUAUUUACAAUCUGUUUGGUCAUUUUGUUGCAUCAUUCGUAUUCUUACAAAGUGUGAUUCUUGCAAUGAAUUUAAUAAAACAAAGUAUGCUUUAUGUCCCACGGAUACAUAAGACAUCAAGUUGUUCAACCAUUCCAAGGAUUCUGAAUUCGAUGUGUCUUCCAUUUGGUUUAAAACGCAUUCGACAAAUAUAAUUAAUCCUAACUUGAAUUUAUCUUCUCGAUCUUGACACAUAUGAAAUACUUUAGAAAGUCUUUUCAUAGUAAUUCUUUUGUACCAUUGAAGUAUUUAUCCCUAAGUCGAGUAUUACUGAAAUUAAGAUCAACACCAACUUCAUGACAUGAUAAUCCAGUGAUUAGACAAAAUUCUUGCAUGCUAAAACGGGCCACAUGAUCGUCUGAUCAUAUCCAAACUUCAUUAUUUUUGCCUCAAUUGAUAAGUCUCAUUAUGAACUCGUGUAUUAAUUUGCUACUAAAUAUUUCAUUUUGUUCUUUAUACAUACUUUCAUAGAUAAAUCCGUGAAAGUGAUUGCAUAGUAAAGAGGAUUGAUCGCCUCCAUCUAUAAGUUCUACAAAAUCUUUAAGGUAUUCGUGAUUUGUAAAUUAAGUAAUAGUAGCAGAGAACCAUUGAUUUGAAGAUAAUAUGUAUUCUAACAACAUCUGCAAAAAUUAUUUAUUAAUCAUAUAUAUAUAUAUGAGGGAAAUCUCAUAUAAAUGAUCUAAAAAUGCAAAAAAAAAGUAUAAUAAUAUAAAAGUAGACAUACUAUUCAUAUGCAUGAACAACACAAAUAUGACUUGAAUUAACUAAACCCACAAAAAUUCAACAAUGUUAUGAAACAAAUUGACUUCAGCAUGAAUUUCAUCAUCAAUUAUAGGUAAAUUUGGUAUUAGAAAGCACUAAUUAAAUAGAGAAAUAACAAACCCAACCUAAAUGAUAUUGAAAAGUUGUUGCGACAGCUAAAUGGCUCUGAGAUAUUCUUCUCCACCAGCUGGCAGGAGAAUAGUAGUAUAAAUAAAUUUAUGGGGGCAAAAAACUUUAUUAUAGUACUAAUUUGAAACCCCUAUGAAAGUGCAAAAUAAGCAUUUGUAUUUAAUCUAAAAAUCAAAGACAGAGAGAAAGUGUGUAUGUGUGUUUUAAUUUCUCAUUGCCCUAAAAUCUGAUCCAUGUUCUUGUCCAUAAUAAAUAUUUACCAAUUAUGUAUUGUGAGAUAGAAAUUAUUAGAGGGGGUUGUUUAUAUCUGCUAAAUUUAUCUGUUUUAAUCCAAAGUUGAAACUAAUUGAUGCAAUUCAUAUAUUUCUAUUUCCCUAUGAAAGUGCAAAAGGACAAAAUUAAUAAUAAAUUAAACGAACCUGCAGUUAGCAAGCUUCAUUUUGAUUCAUUGCUCCAACACCUACUUCUCCAUUUUUAAUAUCACACUCUCUUUUCCACCACUCAUUGUCUGAAAAGUCCGAUAAUUUUCAUCAAUCCCAUCAAAACACCUAACCUUCUUAAAUCCCAACAUUUCAUUUCUCUUUCAAAAUUUCACUUACUUUUUUCAUCUCAAUCAAAUAAAUUGAGAACUAAACUAAAACUCUGCCAAAAUUUUGGAAUUUUCUUUAAAUAAAAAAAAAUCAUGGGACGAAACCUCUACACUAGAAAAUAUUUCCUAAACCCAACUUUUCAUUUCCUAUGUCAAGAAUCAUGCAUGAAUUAAACUUAGAUAAAUCAAUUAAUUGUUAAAUAAAUAUAAUUCAUAGAAUGAAUAUUUAACGUUCGAGUCAUCCAAACGGCUUAAGAUUUUCUAAACAUGAAUGAAAACAUAUGUAUAAUAAUAUGGGAGCAUAUGAAUGCAAAAACAUGCAAGAUGAUGAAGAAAAAAUUCGGGUGAAAUGAGUUUCAAAUCUGAAAAAUUGAAUGAUUAAUUCAAAAAACUUUUGGGCUGAUCAGCAGUAACCACCAGCCCAUCGAAAUUGUCAAAACAGUUCCAAAAAGUUAAAUGUGAAAACGUGGAACUCAACUAUGAACAGUAACUAUUGGUAAGUGUCUUUUAAGGUAUAGGGAUAUUACACUCUCUUUUUCACCCCCAUUGUCUCAAAACUCCGGUAAUUUUCAUCCAUCCCAUCAAAACACCUAACCUUCUUAAAUCUCAACAUUCCAUUUCCCCUUCAGAAUUUCACUUACUUUCUUCAUGUCAAUCAAACAAAUUGAGAACUAAAAUAAAACUCUGCCAAAAAUUACAAAUUUUCUUUAAAUAAAAAAAAUCAUGGGAAGAAACCUCUAGAUUAGAAAAUAUUUCUUAAACCCAACUUUUCAUUUCCUAUGUAAAGAUCAUGCAUGAAUUAAACUUAGAUAAAUCAAUUAAUUGUUAAAUAAAUAUAAUUCAUAGAAUGAAUAUUUAAUCUUCGAGACAUCCAAACGGCUUAAGAUUUUCUAAACAUGAACGAAAACAUAUGUAUAGUAAUCUGGGGGCAUAUGAAUGCAGAAAUAUGUAAGAUGAUGAAGAAAAAAUUCAUGUGAAAUGAGUUUCAAGUCUGAAAAAUUGAAUGACCGAUACAAAAAACUUUUGGGCUCAUCAACAGUAAUUACCAGGCUAUCAAAAUUGCCAAACCAGUUCCAAAAAGUAAAGUGUGAAAACGUGGAACUCAACUACAAACAGUAACUAUAGGUAUAGGGAGAUAAUAACACGACAAACAUCUGGGCCAUAGACCCUAUCCAGAAGGUAAACAUCAAUUUUAAAAGGUUUGGAAAGCUUCUAAUAUCAGGGAUUCUAAAGAAUUAUAGUAAAGGCCAUAUUUUUUUAAACAUAUCUAAUUCCGCAUAAUAGUAAAAUAAAUUUGAACUCUUUUGUUGGAUUUUCGUCUAAUUAUUAGAUGUAGCUUUUUCCCAAAAAAUUAUACCUACUAUCUUAAACACAUAAAAGAAUGUAGUGAUGUUGCAUUUUUUUUAACUUUAAAAAUACGAGGAGACAAAAUAUGACCUAAGGAAACCAAUUUAUCCAAUACUUUCCAAUAAAUAUGAAAAUUCAUUUACAAUUAAAUAAUCAUAAAAACCCUACUUAAAUAACAAAAAAAAUCAAAAUCCAUUUCACAUCAACCUAAAAAUCAAAUUAUCCCUUACCAAAAAACUAAAAAAGAAACAGAGAAAAAUAAUGGGGGAAAAAACCUUGGGCUUAAGAUCGGAGUCAAAGUUGAACUUCUAGUCCCCAACUUGAGCUCAGAAUCCUAGACUUCAGUUCUUUCAUUGGUUCAAUUUAUAAUCUCCGUCGGGAUUUGUCUUUCUUCUUCUGUUAGGGCUUCGUUUGGUUUUGGAGAGAAAGAAAUUAGUUAAUUUCAAAUGAGAAGAGUUAACUCAGUAGCCG
rnacentral:lncRNA from 1 species